ACAUUGAAGUAAAAUUUACAUUUAGUUUCGACCUAAAAAUUUAAGAUAACUUCUUCUUGUU
rnacentral:tRNA from 1 species